AGCCAAAUGGGAGGACGCACGGUGCACCGCAUCCUGGCUGUGAGCGUUUGAUGAGCCAUGAGUGCAGGCAGCAUGUUCUACAAAAGGAUGGAUGGGGCCACUUAAGCCAGUGAGCCAGGAGCGUUGGUCUAAUGGAUGAUUUGUCCUUGAAGGUGAUUGAGGAAGACGCUGUCCGUGAAUAAUGAAACUCGGGUAAAUUGAUGAGAAGGGUCACAGGGCAUCACUUGAGUACUUCAGCAUCUGCUUGUGAAACCACACCAUGAAGAACCAGUCUUAGCAUUAGAAUACAAGCAGCAUCUGACCAGUCCACUACAGUCAUCAAACAACAGGAAGAAAAAGAUGACUGCCAAGCUUGUAAUUCUAGCACUCUGGAGUCCGAGGCACUUCCUGUAUCCUGGAAUUCUGCAGGCCCUGGGGAACCUGGGCAUCACCAGCUCCAGAACUUGUGGUUGUAACUGAGGACAGGGUGGAAGGUUCACAGCCACUAGGAGAGGGGACUAAAGAAACAGCCAGUCUAGGCCUUGGUUGGGGCAGUGAGCAGCUGAUGGAAACUCUGCAUCUACAGAUGAGUAUCCCUUGUGUGCCGGGACUUUCCCUCACCAGCUAGUUCCCCUCCACCAGCAUGGCUCUUCCUCAGGAUACCACGCUUUGUGUCCAGCCUCCAGCCCUGCUGAGCACAUCCCACACAGAGUCCUUGUGAGAACUCAGUCCUAAAGGCUUUUCAACCUCUGCACCCUCGAGCCCAUCCAUCACUACUAGCAUCCCUGUCUUGUACCCAGCUUCCCAUGUGCUCUCCCACGGGAAGGGACAGUAAAAGCUUCAUUUGCAACUCUUGGCUUCCUGACC
rnacentral:lncRNA from 1 species